CACUGCCAUUACCAACAACACGCGAUAAACACCCCCCUUCCCUCCAUUUCCACCACGCAGACUCGCUGACUUCGACCAAGGAUCAGAAACCAGACAACAAUGGCGGAGGUCGAAGUUAACGACGAGAACCAGCAGCUCAAGAGCAGCGCCAUAGUGGUCCCUAACCCAAAACCCAACAAGGGUUUUUCUUCAAAAGUGGUGGACUUGAUCGAGAAGCUGAUCGUGAAGUGGAUGUACGACUCUUCUCAGCCUCACCACGACCUCGCUGGCAACUUUGCUCCGGUGGCUGAUGAAACUCCUCCCACCACCAACCUCCCUGUCAUCGGCCAUCUUCCUGAGUGCUUAAAUGGAGAGUUUGUCAGGGUGGGGCCCAACCCAAAGUUUGCACCAGUUGCUGGAUAUCACUGGUUUGAUGGAGAUGGUAUGGUUCAUGGUAUGCGCAUCAAAGAUGGAAAAGCAACUUAUGUCUCCCGCUACGUAAGGACGUCACGUCUUAAGCAAGAAGAAUAUUUUGGAGGUUCUAAAUUUAUGAAGAUUGGAGACCUUAAGGGGUUUCUCGGCUUAUUCAUGAAGAGCUUGCAAAUGCUAAGAGAAAAACUGAAAAUAUUAGAUAUGUCUUAUGGUUUUGGGACUGGUAACACAGCUCUCACAUAUCACCAUGGGAAGCUUCUAGCUCUUCACGAGGCGGAUAAACCUUAUGUCCUCAAAGUUUUGGAAGAUGGAGAUCUGCAAACGGUUGGCUUGCUGGAUUAUGAUAAGAGACUGACACAUUCCUUCACUGCUCAUCCAAAGGUUGACCCAUUCACUGGUGAGAUGUUUACAUUUGGCUAUUCAUGGACUCCGCCAUAUGUCACUUACAGAGUUAUUUCGAAGGAUGGUUUCAUGCAUGACCCUAUACCGAUAACAAUACCAGACCCUGUCAUGAUGCAUGAUUUUGCAAUUACUGAGAACUAUGCAAUUUUCAUGGAUCUCCCCCUGAUCUUCAAACCAAAGGAAAUGGUUAAGGAACAAAAGUUGAUAUUCACAUUUGAUCAAACAAAAAAAGCUCGCUUUGGUUUACUUCCACGGUAUGCAAAGGAUGAGUUGCUAAUCAGAUGGUUCGAGCUUCCAAAUUGCUUCAUUUUCCAUAAUGCUAAUGCUUGGGAGGAGGAGGAUGAAGUUGUUUUAAUCACAUGCCGCUUUGAGAAUUUUGAUUUGGAAAUGUUCAAAGAAAAGCUUGAAAACUUCAGAAAUGAGCUGUACGAAAUGAGAUUCAACUUGAAAACUGGUCUAGCAUCCCAAAAGAAACUAUCAGAAGCGGCUGUAGAUUUUCCCAGGGUGAAUGAGAGCUACACCGGAAGGAAGCAGCGUUAUGUGUACGGAACCUUGCUGGACAGCAUUUUCAAGGUUACAGGAGUAGCCAAGUUUGAUCUGCAUGCUGAACCAGAGGUUGGAAAAACACAAAUUGAGGUUGGAGGAAAUGUCCAAGGCCUCUAUGACCUGGGACCUGGCAGAUUUGGUUCUGAGGCUAUUUUUGUCCCUCGCACUCCUGGCGUUACUUCUGAAGAAGAUGAUGGCUACUUAAUACUCUUUGUUCAUGACGAGAACACUGGCUGAGUAAACCGGUGUUACCAGCGGUUAUGCAGUGACGUGCGUGUGAAGUUCAAUCUUCUUGAGGACAGACUGCAAUCUAAACUUGCAUUUUGAUCAUGCAGAAAAUCAGCAAUUCAUGUAGUUGAUGCAAAGACAAUGUCACCAGACCCCGUUGCAGUUGUGGAAUUGCCACACAGAGUUCCAUACGGUUUGCAUGCUAUCUUCGUGACAGAGGAGCAAUUGCAAGAACAAGCGAAGCUCUAAUUGUUCGAUCAUUGGAAGAACCCGCAAGGGAAGGCAGGCCACUGUAAUAUAAUGUAUACACCUCUGUAUUUAAACUACUCUUGUGAUUUAUACUUGUUGCUAACAAAUUCGACUGCAAUCGAUAAUAUAAUGAUCGAACAAAAUGUAUACACCUCUGUAUUUAAACUACUCUAUUAGUCUGUUGUGUUUUAAUUACUUGGAACAAAAUGAAUCAAUACCUAUACCAUCUUGAUUAAUGUUAAUUAUAUACUUGGAUGCA